CAGAAUUGGGGCACCUCUACCAUGGCCCGGACGCCUCUCCUCCUUGGAUUCCUGGCUCACUGCACAGGUUCUAUGUCUGCCUACGUGCUGACUCAGCCUCCCUCAAUGUCGGUGAACCUGGGACAGACGGCCAGCAUCACCUGCAGUGGAGACAACAUUGGAGGAAUAUAUGUUUCCUGGCAACAACUGAAGCUGGGACAGACACCCAUGACAAUUAUAUAUAGUGAUAGCAACCGGCCCUCAGGAAUCCCUGACAGGUUCUCUGGCUCCAACUCAGGGAACAUGGCCACCCUGACCAUCAGCGGGGCCCGGGCUGAGGAUGAGGCUGACUAUUACUGACUAUUACUGACUAUUACUGGGCAUAUGACAGUAGUA